rnacentral:rRNA from 1 species
UGUUCAGGGGUAAACCUGUGGUUCCCGAAAGUUCGAACGGGGAGAUUCAAUUGCCUCGCCGGUUAUGACCAUUUAACAGUGAUGUGUUUAUGAUAUAUAUUUGAGACAUUAUAUGGCGGUUGCGGGUUUAUUCUCGUAGCUGUUUCUGUAUAGUGCUCCACUGUUUUAUGAUAUAUAGUUUAUAGCCGGAGGCGUGCACUUCUCCCCUUGUAGGACGUCGUGACCCAUUGGAUUAUGUUGUCUAAGGCUUAUAAUGGAGACCGUGGCAUUAAGUUUCGGCUUUAAUGACCCGGACUUAUAAUGUCCCGACAUCUAUCCGAUGGUAUAAUUAUGAUGAUAGAUCGCUAUAAAUGUGAUAUGAGCGUUCAGAUCCAUAACAAAUUCUUUUUAUGGGAAAUAGUGGAAAUCGGAUUUAAUGCCGAUUCUACACAUAUAGUAUUGAUAGUUGUGGUAUUCUCGAACCGUUCUUUAUCAUCAGUCAACGGCGUUUAUGUUUUGGGUAAUUACAGGACCCGUCUUGAAACACGGACCAAGGAGUCUAGCAUGUGCGCAAGUCAUUGGGACUUUGUGAAACCUAAAGGCGUAAUGAAAGUGAAAUAUUUGUGAAUUUUCGUAAUUCUCUGAAUUUAAGGGAAGAUGGGUAACGUUUUUUAUGUUACCUCGCAUUCCCGGGGCGUCGCGUACUUAUUGCAAGUUGCGGCGCACCAAGAGCGUACACGCUGGGACCCGAAAGAUGGUGAACUAUGCCUGGUCAGGAUGAAGUCAGGGGAAACCCUGAUGGAGGUCCGUAGCGAUUCUGACGUGCAAAUCGAUCGUAUGAACUGGGUAUAGGGGCGAAAGACUAAUCGAACCAUC